UUAACAGAAUCAUUGUUGUGUCUCCUGGUGGCAGCAUUCUCCUUCUGGAACUAAGAACUCUAGGCCAGCAGAAUGUAAUGUCAUGGAAACAGGAAGCAAAAAUUUUGCUAGUAGAUCACUGGGGAUGAUGGUGAGUGGUGUCACUUCCACUUCCAUCCCUUUAAUCCUGGAGCCGUGAGUCCUGGCUAUGGGAGAAACAGUGCCAUAUAUGGGAUGCUGAUUCAGAGCAUACACAGUCUUCUGGAGAACUUUACCCCAGGUCUGCAAAGUAUUGUUACCUAGUUGGCAUUGUAAUUGUGACUUCAAAAGGCCGUUCCAUCAUUUUAUCAAUUCAGCUGCUUCAGGAUGACAGAUAACAUGCAGACUACCUGGUCAUGUGGCCACGUUCUCAUGGUGAUGUCAGAGGGAAGAGUGCCAGCAGAAGUACUCUGCUUAGAUCACAUCUUCUAUCAUCCCCUUGUCCAAAGAAAGGACUCCAGCUUAUGAAAGAAAACGCAAAGAAAGAAGAGACCAUUCCACUGACCUCCUUUGAUGUUAGUUGUGGACACAUCACUUAUUUUCAACCAACAGAAUCAUCACUUGACAAUGGUGACCUCUACUCCCUUGAAAAUACUUGAAAAAAAUAUUUCCUAUGGGCUAAAGAAUAAGUGAGAGGUAUGUGAACAAUGGAAGAAUAGUUUCCAUUUAAGAUGGCUUCAGGAAAGUGGUGCUUGUAAGAAGAAUCAAGUUCCAAUUAAUGUCAAGAGAUUGUUGUGGCAUCUGGACACAUGACACACUUGAAAACAACACAUUAAAUUUAUACUGCCUGGAAUAGACAAAAAGCUGCCUUGUAAGCAUCAUCAACAAUGCUCAUCAUUGGGGGAGGGGUGUGCUGCAUUAGCUGGGUCCCAUGGAAUUAUAUUUUUAAAUUCUAAACUUUUCACAAAUAUAAAAGGGAUAGGCAUUUCAAAUCUGAAAGGCCACAUGAGGGAGAUAACUUCUAUUAAAU
rnacentral:lncRNA from 1 species